ensembl:lncRNA
CCUUUUCUUCUCUGCCUCUGACCUUUCUCUGUCCUGAGAUCCAAACUGUCUUCCCAUAUCCAGCACUGUGUUGACAUGAACCCUCAGAAGGAUAAAGGUUUAAUCAUCUUUAAACAUGGAAUUUCUGCACUCACAGGAAUUCAUAAAUAUUUCCGUUAAUGACAUGGAAAUACAUUGAUUUCUCAAUAAACUAGUGAGAUUUGCUUUGUGUGGCAAUGGGGCGGAGAAGGGCAUGUAUCACCUCCCCCACGACUCCACAGCCACUUUAAAACACGCAGCGGCGGUUAUUCGGACUGACAGUUUGCUCUUAUUCACACACCCACUAAUUCUCAGUCAGACGAGUUCAUCUCCUGACAAAUAUCUGCAACAGUCCACACAGAGAACUGGAUUAGGAGUCAUUCUACUAGUACACUAAACAAUUUCCAGAAGACUAAACGACACCAUCAUCAGAUCAAACAACAGUUCCAGUGUUCAGCCAUGGUGUUGUUUGAGGAUCAAGAAUGUGGGGUCUGUUACCUGCGUUACUCCCGCAUCGACCGCGUUCCCAGAACUCUCCACUGCAACCACACAUUCUGCACCACCUGUCUGGAGACAAUGGGGCUGCAGUCCAGCGGCCUGCGCACCAUUCGCUGUCCCCUCUGUCGCCAGGUGACUUGUGUGGACCGUGGGCUCAGCUUGCAGGAGGCUCUGUUUGUCAAUAGCCAAGUGUGGGACAACAUUUGCGAUGAGCAAGAGGAGGAAGAGGACGAGAGAGAGCAGGAAAAAGAGGAAGAGGGGAAAAACACUAAUAUGCAGGUGCUGCCCUCAUCACAGGCUGAAUGUCCAGUGCGAAAACAAUACAGACCCAAACUCAGACUCCCGUCUUUCCUGAAGAAAAUGAGUUUUUCCAGGCACCCCGAAGAGAGGAUUGUUCCCACCUGCAAUGUGUAAGUCUUCAUCCUACUGUAAUGAUCGACAGCUCAGUUGAAACAAAAUGUAACAACAUACUGUAUAGAGAAAUGAUGUCAUGGAGAAGGAUUUCAUCAGAAGAGAUUUUUUGAAAAGGGCAACAGACACCAUAAACAAAGGAUUAGCAAUACAAACAAUAGACUUUCACCCGCUUUUUGCUUCGGUCAUAUGCUAAUUAUGCCUGGCGUACUGAAAAAGCGGGAGCAACAGUCAGUCCUGGACAAGGUUGUUUAAACAAAUUCAAACCCCUCCAUGUGCUUCUGCGACUACAUUUUCCACUUGAAUAGCCACAAGUCCGAAUCCUGCUCCUCCAUCUGAGGGGAACUUCUCAUUAGAUAUUCCACCCUUAAUCCGUCCCAGCUGCUGAGGCCGGAUUUGUUUCAGCUGUCCCGAGAGACAGAGGGUCCCAGAUGCGAAACAAGACUUUCAGAGCAGAUGGCAUCUUGUGAAAGAUUCAGAUCACCCCCACUUCUCUAAUAGACUCUUUUAAGUUAUUUUAAGCUUUGUUAUUUAUAUAACUUAUAAAUUAUUGUAAAUUAAAAAUUCUGAUUGCUGGUGUCUUUUUAAAUAGCACAUCCUUACAUCCUGUUUUACAAGACUAUCUAGAGCAGAGGGGGUUCAAACUUUUGAUAUAAGGACCCCAAAUAUGACAUUCCCCUUCUGAGGGACCUCUAUUUCCAAAGAAAAAAUAAAAAAUAAACUUUUUUUAAAAUAUAUUGUCAUUGUCAUUGUAUUUGAAAAAGAAUCAAAUAAAUGCAAUACCAUGACUUUUACUAGUAUUUUACUAGGAAAAUGAAAAAUUAUAUAAAAUUAAAUGCUGAAAUGUUAAUAUUAAAAACAUAAGUAUAUUCCAUACUGUUUGUAUAUUCACUGCAGUGAGUCUGCAACUGACCAAAAACACAAAGAAUGGAAUCACUCAGCCGUGUCAAUGGAUUAUACAUGCUUUUCAUUAAACAUAUGUCAUCUUUCAUGUAUAAUUUCGGAAAAGAGUUUGGGUUUACCAAAGUAUCUUAUAUUACAUUGGCAAAUACAGAGUCUUUACAUACACACCUGCAUGUGCUGUUUUCUGAGAAAAACUUUUAAAAUGUUGUCAUUAUAAAAGGUACAGAAAUAAACAUUUGCUAAACUCAAGCAAUAUAGAACUGCAAUACUGUAAAUGAUAUAAUAAUAAACUGAAAAAAAAAAAAAAAACAUUUAAAGAGAAUUCUUGACGUGAAUUCUUGGAAUGGAAACAAUAUGACAGGCUUGCAUUUAUGUUUUCUCAGAAGCCUUCAUGAGCAGAUAACUCAACCAAAACAAAGAUAUAAAGCGAUUAUAUAGCUAUGUUAUUAUGUUUCACAACGGAUUCUUCUACAGAAAUCAGCAUGUGCUAUAAAAUGACUAUCCAUGAGUCAAUUCACCAGUCUCUGUGAUUAUCAUAUACUGUAGAUAAUGUAGGUCAAACAGAUAACUGCUGAUUUAUGAUUCUCACCGAUGGUUGUUCAGAAGCCAAACAGAAAAUUUAC